UGCGUAGGCGGAAUGAUAAGUUAGUGGUGAAAUCCCUCGGCUCAACCGAGGAACUGCCAUUAAUACUGUCAUUCUUGAGUAUAGUUGAAGUGGGCGGAAUGUAUCAUGUAGCGGUGAAAUGCUUAGAUAUGAUACAGAACACCGAUAGCGUAGGCAGCUUGCUAAACUAUAACUGACGCUCAGGCACGAAAGCGUGGGGAACAAACAGGAUUAGAUACCCUGGUAGUCC
rnacentral:rRNA from 1 species